rnacentral:rRNA from 1 species
UACGGGGGGAGCAAGCGUUGUUCGGAUUUACUGGGCGUAAAGAGCGCGCAGGCGGUCGAAUAAGUCGAAUGUGAAAGCCCCCGGCUUAACUGGGGAGGGUCAUUCGAUACUGUUCGACUUGAAGGCAGGAGAGGGCAGCAGAAUUCCCGGUGUAGUGGUGAAAUGCGUAGAUAUCGGGAAGAACACCAAAGGCGAAAGCACUCUGCUGGGCCGAAACUGACACUGAUAGACGAAAGCUAGGGGAGCAAAUGGG